GUGAGUGGCAGCUGGGUGGUGCCCCCUUGGAGGACUGGCUCCUACCUCUGUGGGUUCUUCCUCACAGCACAUAGAUUCUUUUUUGCUUGUUUGUUUGUUUUUGAGAUGGAGUCUCUGUUGCCCAGGCUGGAGUGCAGUGGCACAAUCUUGGCUCACUGCAACCUCUGCCUCUGGGUUAAAGUGAGUCUCCUGCCUCAGCCUCCCGAGUAGCUGGGAUUAUAGGCACCCACCACCACACUCAGCUAAUUUUUGUAUUUUUAGUAGAGAUGGGUUUUUACCAUGUUGGUUAGGCUGGUCUUGAACUCCUGACCUCAAGCAAUCCUCCCGCCUCAGCCUCCUAAAGUGCUGGGAUUACAGGUGUGAGCCACUGUGCCCGGCCCCAGUACAUAGAUUCUGACAACACACACUACUUCUUGUGGUUAUUACCUCUGUCUUACUUCAGUGUUCGUGUUUAGAUUUUUCCUCUCCCUCUAAUAUGUUUUAUUGAAAGUAACUUCUUUUAUUAAAUGACACCUCUGAAAUAUGUAGUGCAGUUCCUGUUCUCCUGGCUGGACCCUGACUGAUGCCAUGGGGAAAGCCCUCGGGCUCGUGGACCUUAAAUUCCAGGUCCUGUUGUGCCCAACUCAUGAUUUAUCCAGGUCACACCAGUCUGGUCUGUCACAGUAAGAGGGCCACCAGGAAACACACCUUCAGGAAGCACCUUUUCUGUUCUAUCCCAAAGGGCACCAUCACAUACACUAUAAUAUGAAUCAUGACCCCCGGAGUUGUGUGGAGUUUCUGCAUCUCUCCCUCCCCACUGUGGCUACCCUCAUCCAGCAACCAUCCUGUCUCUCACCGGUAUUACCGCAGCUGAGACCCAGGUCUUAAGGAAGCUGAGACCCAGGCCAGCAGGGGCCUCACAGCUUGGAAAAAGAGGAGGGUGUAAGACUCUGGAUGAAGCUGAGAGAUCCUUCCAUGCUUGGCUGAGAGACUACACAGACAUGAGCUUCAGGAGACUCCAAAGCCUCGGAUCCCCUUCUAAACUAGCACUGAAUUCUGAUUGGCUGUCUUUGCCUGCCUCAGUUUGUUCCUUUUACUGAUUGGCUAGGUUCUUCUGCCCAUGGCAGAGCCCUGCUCCAGCCACCGGAUCCUCCCACCUGCCACAGUGUCACCUGGGAUUGGCUGGGCUCUGAAAGGCCAGGCUGGCUUGACUCUUGCCAUCAUCAGAUUCUUCCUCAUUAAACAAAUGAAUCACAAUCCUAAUUAAUUUGAGCAACAGAAUUUAUGUAACUACUCCCAGCAGGAUGUCUGCUCUCAGUCAGCAGAGAGAUUACUUCCUCUCUCUGGGAAAUUCCAGCCUUGCUGGUCAAUAAGCCUUAAUGAUGACUGAAAUCUCCCAUCUGUCUCUGCUCAGGGCAGGUAACCCCUACUAAGCAGACACCCAGUUGGCUCGAGGCAGUACCCCGGGCACCGGCAGGACAAGGACAACGAUCUCCCAGCCUAGAUGUGUCCUGAGCCACAUGGAGCACACAGUAGGUGUUUACUUAAGGACAGGGGCUGCCCCUUCCAGGGAAGUUCUGAACCACUUAAAACCCACAGGAAGUGUUCAAUGUCUACUUAUGGAAUAAAUGAAAGGGAGGAUGUGUCACUCAGAUACUUAUAAAAUGGUCUCAAGAUCCUAAACUCCAAGCAAGCUUCUCCAGCUCUUUCCAGCCUUUGCUCCCCCUAUUUCCCAUGACCAUAACCCAAUUCUGUCUUUUUCCUAUUUUGAACUUUCCAGACUCAGAAAUUUGGCUCUUCAUGUUCCCUGCCCUUGAACCGUCCCAGCCCUCUCUCCAAAACAGGCUUCAUGCUGGCUGCAUGGGAGGGAGGGGUAGCAAAGUGGAAAGUGUUACAGAAUUAGUGCUAAUUCUGGCUUUGUCACUUACUCAUUGUACUUCACCUCUCUGUUCUUAACUUUUCUCUCAUACAUAAACCACACGGGGUUCUUGGGAAGAUUAAAUAAGAAAACAUGGUGAAAAUGUAUUGCACAGUACUUGACUCAUUUAAUUGGUGACAGACAGUGUUUUAGGUAAUGGAGAUACAGUGGUGCUCAAGGCAGGCAAGAUUCCUGCUCCCAAAGAAUUUAAUUUCCAGGAGACAAGAAGCAAGCUAGCAAAUGUAUAAGAUAAUAGUUAGGGAACAGUACUCAGCAAAAAUAAAAAAUGUAUGGAGAGGGACUGAGGGGAGUGAGGAACUCUUUGAGGAGGUGCCACUCUGAGACCCAAAUGACAAGAAGGAAUUAACCACAUGACAUUCUAGAAAGAGGGAAAAGAGUUGCUGUUAAGAAGAUGUGGGUGUGUUAAAAAAAAAUUGCAAAGUCCCUUAGGUACGAUUGAGCUGCUAAUGAUCAAUCUGAGGCUUCUGCUCUGUGUCUUAUAGGUAAACGGGGUAAGGUUUGGUAGGACUGAAAAAUUCAUCCAGCCACCUAUCUAGGGGGUGUGAGGGUCAAGAUGUGGACCCAGGUCUUCUGCCCUUAAGAGCAGAGUGCUUGUCACUACAGCACAAAGAAGGUGCAAGAGAAAGGAAAAGUGAGUGGGAGGCGGUGAGGGAGGAACAGACUGCCUUGUCCUCCACCAGAUCUAAAUCUGUCUCCUCCUGAUGGUUGGCAGGAUUACAGGAUCUGACUCCCAUUUGGGCCUUCCACCUCCGCUGGCCUAAGCAGUCAAGUGUCAGAGAGCACUGGACCUAACAGCUCCCUCACCAGAGCAGCUGUGAUUCCUUCUUCAUUUCCAGCAGGGAAGACCCAACAACUUUUAUAAUAUGGGAUUUCUUUUAUUCUCAUGAUAAUAAUGUUCAUUGUGGAAAAUAAAAAAAAAUGAUAAAAUAAAAAUCAGCCAGAAUUCCAACUUCUGGAGAUUUUGGUGUCUUUCUGCAAAGUUCCUAUGCACAUAGAUACUUUAUAAAAUUAUGAACAUACUGUACAUACAGUUUUGGAAUAUGCCUUUUUCCUUCUGUCAUGAAAAAGUCUUCAAAUGCCUUUUAACAGCUACACAAUAGUUCACUACAUGAACCAACUCAAAUGUAACUAUUUUUGGCCUUUUGUUAUAAAUAACACAAGAACCCUCAGUCUUUGUUACAUAAUGUCCUAACAGAGUAGGGGAAAUGCUCCCCAAUCCGGUGCAAUGUCCUGUGCCCAGGGAAACCAAUU
rnacentral:lncRNA from 10 species